GGCGCGUGAGAAGGUCUAAUAGGAAGAAAUUGUGUUGGAAUACCUAUUAAACGUACAUUCAAGGGGAAAAAGGAGUUCGAAACCAAAUUUAGAUGAUGCAGGCCAAC